rnacentral:rRNA from 1 species
AUUGAACGCUGGCGGCAGGCCUAACACAUGCAAGUCGAACGAGCGGCGGACGGGUGAGUAAUGUCUGGGAAACUGCCUGAUGGAGGGGGAUAACUACUGGAAACGGUAGCUCAUACCGCAUACCAUCAGAUGUGCCCAGAUGGGAUUAGCUAGUAGGUGGGGUAAUGGCUCACCUAGGCGCCGAUCCCUAGCUGGUCUGAGCGGAUGACCAGCCACACUGGAACUGAGACACGGUCCAGACUCCUACGGGAGGCAGCAGUGGGGAAUAUUGCACAAUGGGCGCAAGCCUGAUGCAGCCAUGCCGCGUGUGUGAAGAAGGCCGUCGGGUUGUAAAGUACUUUCAGCGAGGAGGCGUUACCCGCAGAAGAAGCACCGGCUAACUCCGUGCCAGCAGCCGCGGUAAUAC